UAAUCUGUAGAGAGAGUCAAGUGUACGUGACACUGCCUAGGGCUCGAGCCCGGUGAACUCGAUUAUCCGAUGCGGACACAUUCACCUGCGGUGUGCUGCGACCCAGUACGCCGCAGGGCAUUUGUCUACUCGCGCUAGCAAAGAGGACACUGCAAUCCAUUAAAAAACAGUUUUCGCGUCGAGAAACAAAGGCCCCCCCAACAGUUCCCCUUUUAAAACCCCUGCGCCGGGGGGGGGCUUUAACUGCACGGGGUUUUCGCUCCCGCGCGCGAAAUAUAUCCCCCGACACCGGGGGGGUUCUCCCCGCGGGGCCCCAGGAAUUGUAUAUCGAAGAAAAAAUAUCGAGUUCUCUGCGAACCCUGUUGAACGGGCCCCGAGGGAUAUAUA
rnacentral:rRNA from 1 species